rnacentral:tRNA from 1 species
GCCAGUGUGGCAUAGUGGUUUGAGUGUUGGACUACAAUUCUGGAGACCAGAGUUCAGUUCCCAGCUCAGCUA